UACGGAGGGGGCUAGCGUUGUUCGGAAUUACUGGGCGUAAAGCGUACGUAGGCGGCUUUGUAAGUUAGAGGUGAAAGCCCGGGGCUCAACCCCGGAAUUGCCUUUAAGACUGCAUCGCUUGAACGUCGGAAAGGUGAGUGGAAUUCCGAGUGUAGAGGUGAAAUUCGUAGAUAUUCGGAAGAACACCAGUGGCGAAGGCGGCUCACUGGACGACUGUUGACGCUGAGGUACGAAAGCGUGGGGAGCAAACAGG
rnacentral:rRNA from 1 species